rnacentral:tRNA from 1 species
GUGAAUUUAGUUUUAAAAAAAACCUUUAACUUGCAAUUAAAAACCUAGUAUAAACCCCUAGAAUCCACA